ACUGUCCACGUGUGUUCGUAACUGCUCUGUACUCGGUGCUUAUCUUUGAAAAUAUUCCGCAAUAUCCGAUAUAACUUGGCCUAGACAUUCUUGGAUACAUAUGCAGGAUUCCUCUUAGCUCAAAUUGACUAUAAAAGCGGUCUGUAUUAAGGUUAUUGCUAUUUUUUUAAAAUAUUAUUAAAGUUAAAUUUGACAUUGAUUGGGUUGCUUACGUCCAGUAAGGUGAUCUAUACAUUAUCUGUACUUGACUAUUAGCGUGAGUUUUGACUAACUUUUACUUUUCGAAAUGAUACCAUAGAACCAUUUUUUUUUUAUAAAAACGUGAUA